rnacentral:rRNA from 1 species
AAUACCGGAUAGAGCCCCCUCCGCGUCGGGUGGGGGUGAAAAAUUAUUAUGAUAUUGGGAUGAGCCCCGAGGCCCUUUCAGUUUUUUGGUGGGAUAAUGGCUUACCAAUCACGGCGACGGGUACCCGACCUGAGAGGGAGAGACGGCCACAUCGGGGACUGAGACACGGCCCCAGACUCCUACGGGAGGCAGCAGUGGGGAAUAUUGCACAAUUGGCGGAAGCCUGAUGCAGCGACGCCCGCGUGGGGGAUGACGGCCUUCGGGUUGUAAACUCCUUUCACCAUCGACGCAGGUUUUCUGACGGUAGAUGGAGAAGAAGCACCGGCUAACUACGUGCCAGCAGCCGCGGUAAUACGUAGGGUGCGAGCGUUGUCCGGAAUUACUGGGCGUAAAGAGCUCGUAGGUGGUUUGUCGCGUCGUCUGUGAAAUUCCGGGGCUUAACUCCGGGCGUGCAGGCGAUACGGGCAUAACUUGAGUACUGUAGGGGAGACUGGAAUUCCUGGUGUAGCGGUGAAAUGCGCAGAUAUCAGGAGGAACACCGGUGGCGAAGGCGGGUCUCUGGGCAGUAACUGACGCUGAGGAGCGAAAGCAUGGGUAGCGAACAGGAUUAGAUACCCUGGUAGUCCAUGCCGUAAACGAUGGGCGCUAAAGUAGGGGUCUUCCACGACUUCUGUGCCGUAGCUAACGCAUUAAGCGCCC